GGAUCCCAAGAGAAGGAGAAGAACUGGUUGCUUGAGGACCUAGACUUCUUCGUAUGAAACAAUACAGCAUGCCAGAGAUAAAUUACAGCUGGGAGCUAGACCACAUGAUAUAGAAGUAGCUGCACAUUGAUGUUGAAUGAAGCAGGAAAGCAGAAUACUUAAACUUCUGCCAAACUCCCAAGAAGCUGACCUUCCAAUUUGCAGUGUCAUUGCUUAGGUUGUUUCCUGCCCAUCAAAUGCCAGGGGCCUAGAUUGACCAUUGCCACCGUGCCUGGAGAGGCCAAGAAGUACACCAUGGAGAUGACAAUGACUGUAGCAAUCCAGCAGUCUGCUCUUACUGGGUGAUUGUAAGAGGGUAAAGCAGAUGUGCUGAACUUUGUGAUGAUUUUAUAUUCCAGUAAACACCCAGUAAGACAACAUGGGAGGCGCCAGGGCCCGUAUGGGUAUUGGAGAAGUAGUGGACAAAGUCAGACCCAGCCCAGCCAAUGAGGGCAGGGCCUCACUGGUGUUGGUCUCACCAGUAAUGAAUAGAAGAUGCCCAGAGUGAGUGAGACAACUUCCAGGACUAGAACUGUGUAUGGAGCCCAAACCAGGAGAGUCGGGAGAAAGAGGACAGUUGGACAUUAUCUUCAUGGAUGGAAUCUUGCCAGGGCACAGACUUCAAGAUGUCAUCUUGGAAGCAGAGACUGGACCUUCACCAGACUCAAAACCUACCAGUACCUUGAUCCUAAACGUCUUUCCCGGCUCCAGAACUGUGAGAAAGUAAGUUUCUGUUUUUCAUAAAUUAUCCAGUCUCAGGUAUUCUGUUAUAGCAGCACAAAACAGACUAAGAUGGGUGUUUGAAUCAACUUGAGCUUCCUGAGACUCAAGUUAGAGUGGCAGAGCUAGAAUCCUUGGAGGUGAAACUCCAGGAUCUGCAUUUAAUCUGCCCACCUCUCCCAGGAACAUUGCUGCACAUCCAAGUUUGGGAAUAAUUGCCAGGACUUUUAAAGUUUUUUUUUUUUAUUAAAGUUUUUUAUUAAAGUUCCAAAAUAUAUGUGCAGAACGUGUAGUUUUGUUACAUAGGUAUACAUGUACCAUGGUGGUUUGCUGCCCCUAUCAACCCAUCCUUUAGUUUUAAAACCACCCAUGCAUUAGCUAUUUGUCCUGAUGCUCUUUCUCCCCUUAUCCCCCACUCCUGAACAACACUCCCUGGAAAUUGUUGUUCUCCUCCCUGUGUCCAUGUGUUCUCACUGUCACCUCCCACUUAUGAGUGAGAACAUGCAGUGUUUGAUUUUGGUUUUCUGUUCCUGUGUGUGUUUGCUGAGAAUGAUGGUUUCUAGCUUCAUCCAUGUCCCUGCAAAGGGCAUGAUCUCAUUCCUUUUUAUGGCUGCAUAGUAUUCCAUGGCAUAUAUGUACCACAUUUUCUUUUUCUUUUUGAGAUGGAAUCUCACUCUGUCACCUAGGCUGGAGUUUAGUGGUGCCAUCUUCAAUCACUGCAACCUCUGCCUCCUGGGCUUAAGUGAUUCUCCUGCCUUAGCCUCUUGAGUAGCUGGGAUUACAGGUUCCUGCCACCACACCUGGAUAGUUUUUGUAGUUUUGUAUUUUUGGUAAAGAUGGGAUUUCACCAUUUUGGCCAGGCUGGUCUCAAACCCCUACCUCAAGUGAUCCACCUGCCUUGACCUCCCAAAGUGCUGGGAUAACAGGUGUGAGCCAUUGUGUCCGGCCUCACAUUUUCUUUAUCCAGUCUAUCACUGAUGGGCAUUUGGGUUGGUUUCAUGUCUUUGCUAUUGUAAAUAGUCCUGCAAUAAAAAUAUGUGUGCACAUGUCUUUAGAGAAGAA
rnacentral:lncRNA from 13 species